GCAAUUUAUUGGGUGAUCGUUGCGAGACCCGUGCAGUUGGAAGGCAAGCCGGGUGGAAAUACUGGCUUAAUUAGUACGAUCCGCUUCGUUUCACACUUUUAUAUCAAUAAAAAUUGUCGAUCUUGAGAGUCUGAGAAGAGUU
ensembl:ncRNA C49H3.14 ncRNA